UACGUAGGUGGCAAGCGUUGUCCGGAUUUACUGGGCGUAAAGAGCGCGCAGGCGGUCGUUCAAGUCGCGUGUGAAAGCCCCCCGGCUCAACUGGGGAGGGUCACGCGAUACUGAUCGACUGGAAGGCAGGAGAGGGUAGUGGAAUUCCCGGUGUAGUGGUGAAAUGCGUAGAUAUCGGGAGGAACACCAGUGGCGAAGGCGACUACCUGGCCUGUUCUUGACGCUGAGGCGCGAAAGCUAGGGGAACAAACGGG
rnacentral:rRNA from 1 species